rnacentral:misc_RNA from 1 species
GCAAACUUGGUCAUUUAGAGGAAGUAAAAGUCGUAACAAGGUCUCCGUUGGUGAACCAGCGGAGGGAUCAUUACAGAGUUGUUAAAACUCCCAAAACCAUGUGAACUUACUAUGUUGCCUCGGCGGGAGCACCUACCCGGUAACUACCCUGUAGCUACCCGGUACCGGCUACUCGAAGCUACCCGGUAGCUACCCUGUAGCCACCCUGCAAAGCGGUAGGUGCCCGCCGGAGGACCUUUACACUCUUGUUUACUGUGUUACUUCUGAGUUUGUCAUAUAAACAAAUUAAAACUUUCAACAACGGAUCUCUUGGUUCUGGCAUCGAUGAAGAACGCAGC